CAGGAACUGGUUAUGGUCUGACAGCGCCACUUGCUGCUGGGGAGGCGGAACUACAUUAUAAUUAUAAUGGGUCAAUACAUACUGAUAGUUUAAAGAAACUUUACAAUAUAAAGAAACAUACAAAGAACAUCUUUAUUACCUACACAAGACACCUACAGUAAGUCCCUAAGUUCCUGUUAAAAGAGGGAACUAACCUCCAGGUUUGAUCUCUGUUAGUUCAGGUCACUUCUCUGGAACCAGUCGCUUUAAAGCUCAUAACUCUGACAUCAAUCCAGUUAAAUAGAUUCUGGAUUAUUGCAGCAAUCCAGAUUUCACAAACUGCUGCUCCACUUUUCAUCUUCCUGCAGACUAGUCAUAGUUACCAAAGUUACUAAGCACUUUGUAAUGUAUAAAAUUAUCUUUACCUUUUACCUUUAUAGUUCAAACUGAUGACUUCCUGUCUUUGCAGUCACAUGACCAGCUGAGCGCUUCAGCUGCAGAGGACUGGUCAGCCCUAAAGCAUCGCUGAGAUGUUCAGAAGUUCUACAUUGAUCCCAAAGUCAUCAAUAAAUGAAAGUUUGUGUUUCAGUGGUUCUGGAGUCUCCUGGGCCCUUGGACCGGUCCAGACCUGGGUCCACCAGAGCCAAGGAGUUGGUUCUGGACUGAACCGGACCAACAGUAAAGCACAC